rnacentral:rRNA from 1 species
ACUCCUACGGGAGGCAGCAGUGGGGAAUUUUGGACAAUGGGGGCAACCCUGAUCCAGCCAUUCCGCGUGAGUGAAGAAGGCCUUCGGGUUGUAAAGCUCUUUCAGCAGGAGCGAAACGGUCGUUUUUAAUACAGACGGCUAAUGACGGUACCUGCAGAAGAAGCACCGGCUAACUACGUGCCAGCAGCCGCGGUAAUACGUAGGGUGCGAGCGUUAAUCGGAAUUACUGGGCGUAAAGCGUGCGCAGGCGGCGACAUAAGACAGAUGUGAAAUCCCCGGGCUCAACCUGGGAACUGUGUUUGUGACUGUGUUGCUAGAGUGUAGCAGAGGGGGGUGGAAUUCCACGUGUAGCAGUGAAAUGCGUAGAUAUGUGGAGGAACACCGAUGGCGAAGGCAGCCCCCUGGGUUAACACUG